AUUCCUUGCCUGAAGACAACUUGCACAGCAAGAAUCUUUCACCCUGAAAAACAGACAAGCUGAAAGUAAAAAAGUAGUAGGUCCUAUCCACAACUUAGUUACAGAGUUUUCCCAAAUGUUUUAACACAGUUUGUUAUGGAUUAUGAAUAAUAUCUAAAACGAUCAAAGCACCAAUGUGCACCACUUUGCCAUAGGCACCGACAGAAACAUCCGGAAGUGUAUCAUCGUUCAGAUCUGCGUAGCAAUCACGAGACCUUCCGAAAUACUGCACCUGAGGAUCCAGUUUAGAGCCAAGGAUUCGCUAACACAUACAGUUCCUCCCCUUACCUAAUCUAUCACGGCAGUUUUCUUCUGAGCGUUGAGGGUGUAGACGAUAAUUUGUCCAGAGUGGUGGGAAUGCGGUGCACCAGCCACAAGUGUCCCUCAAACGCUGAGAAAGGAAGUUCUUCAGACUGUAACUCUUUCUGAUGGAUCACAGUCCCCUUCCAGGCAUUUGCUCCCACUGCUCCCAGUAUCAUCACAUCCUGAAAGAACACAAUUAUUCUAGUAAAAUAUGUCAGACUGUUCAUUAACAUAUGUUUUUCAUAGUUGCACCACCCUUAUGUACUUUUCUGCCACUCCUGAGUAGCAUCACGUUAACUUUGUAUUCCUCUGUCAAGAAAGGUUGAGCUCAGUAUCCAGAGGUCACAAACCGAGUGUAUCAUAGCAGGCAAAAAGAAAUCAUACUAGUUCCGUAUUUAGUAGUAGUAAAUGUGUUACAAAAACAUGUUGAGGCAUGUCUCUAAUCCAGGGAGUUUACAGGAGAUCUGGGGAAGUACUCAGUGCUUUAUAUGAACCAAUGAAACAUAAAUGCGUGUGUGAUUUCUUUGAAAUAAAAUAAUUUAUAUUUAUUAUAAUUUUUACAUAUAUCUGCAUGUAACGCAAUAUAGGGAAUGUGUCUGAAUAAGACUAAAAGAUUGAUCCUCUGACUUGAAAUGUUUACUAUGGUAAGAAGUCAGAAGAAGAGCUUAAAGCUGAAAUCAACAAAUGAAGAAAUGUUGUGAUUAACAUUAUGAUUCUCAAAUGUGUGUAAUAAAUAAAAAGAAGAAGUGCUGUGCUAUAAUGUCAGUUAUAGGAACAACUGAAAAAAGAGAAGUGUAUAAACUGUCAAAAAGAUAGGGACAGUUACAGGAAAGAUGUCCAGGUCAUGACACACUCUGGCUGGUGUGCACAGGUGUCCCAUAACAACAGGAACAGACAUCUUGAAGACCUAAAAAGGAGUGAAUGAUUUUUCACAUACAAGAAGAGUCUACAACGGUGGCUCGGGUUGAGUGUCGAUACACAGCUGAAAACUACAAACACUGCCUGGAUUUGAAGUUUGAAAGCAUUCCUGAGAACGUUGCUUUCCAUCUCACAUGCUACCGGAGGUUUAUUGACAAGAGUGCAAUUGCAAAAGUGAAAAGGCGUCUCGAGUGUGUGAGUGAGAGAGAGGAGAGGAUACGGAAGACGGCUCAAGAAGUGAGGCCAUCCCAUCAACAUCGAGCAGGACGACUCCGAGUCCGACAAAGAAACUGACCCAGGUCAGGCCGUUACUAUUAAUUUUCUUAUGCUGUUUUGUACUGUUUUAUAUUUGUUUUAAUAAAUAAUGUUUUUUUAUGGUUGAUCAGUGUUGAAUUUAGUUAGGAACGAAUAAAUGAA